rnacentral:lncRNA from 1 species
GAACACAGUAAGAAGGUGGCCAUCUACAAGACAGGAAGAGGGCCCUCACCACGCUAGCUCCCCAGUCUCAGACUUUCAGGCUCCGGAACUGUGGGAAAAUGAAUUUCAAGUCUUUAAGCCUCCCAGUCUAUGGCAUUUUGUUAAGGUAGCUUGAGUUGACUAAUAACAGUAACCAUUUGUAGAGGGUUUAUCCCACGUUUACCUGGAGUAACAAAGAGAGAUACAUCCCUAAAGAAGUCAUUGCCAUGUCAUAGGAAAAUCUGUACCAGGAAUGUUCCCUGGGCAGACUGUUGAGAAACUUCAGACUGAGAUUUAGGGAGAAGAGAAGAACCUAGGAAUAAAGCCCAAGUCAAAUCUACAUUGUCUGAAUGGAAGAUUCUUGAAUUCAAGAAUGAGAACCUCAAACAGUAAGCAGCGAGGAAAACUAGAGAGCAGACGAAGCUCAUGGUUAAAACCCAGUCUUUUAUAGCUGACAGAUAUGGGUUUAAUCUCAGCUUUAUCAGUAACUGCGUAACUUUGAACAAGUAAAUUUACUUGGUUUUAGCUUUCUUAGCUCUAAAGUUAGGAUAUAAAAACAUAUUUCAUAAGAUUGUUUUAAGAAGUAAACUACUAUGCAUGUAAAAUACAUAGUAGAGUGUCCAUUGUAGAGGAACACUCAAUACAUAUUUAAUAAAGUGCUUAAACAUUCUCAUUAUCAACCUGAACAAAGAGCAUACUUGUUAAGUUUGCCAGUGACAGAUAUUAAAAGUGGAGAUUGAAGGGAAAAUGAUGUAUAGAAGA